CCAGAUGCCAGGGUGAUGAGCACAUGAUAGAGAGAUCUCAGUCCAGCUCCCAAGACACAGCAAACACGUCUGUAUGUUCUGGAUGGUGCCCGGUGCAACGUGGAUGUGAUGAAGAAAAAUCAAACAUCAGUAAGGUGAGAAGACCAUUAGCAUUUCGUCAAGGAAUUAUUUUAAUCAGGAAGAUCAUUCCUCACUUAUGCAUAUGGACAAGAUUCAGAGCUGCAUGUGUCUCUAAGUAUUGCCGGUCUCUGGGAAGCAGCACACAUGCUAGACAUUUCUGGGGUUGGAGGAUAAGUACUGAACUUAUCUUUUAUGGAGCAGAAGAACAGAUAAAUUCCAUCAAACGUAUGUAAAUGAACAGAGUUAAGAUUUGCUUCUGGGGAGGUUUAACAGCUUCUUCUCCAUCAUCUCCUACAUUUUGUUAGGCUCUUAUUAAAUAGCAGAUGCUAACAAAUGGAGGCCGAAGCACUACACCCAUAGUAUCAGCAAAACAAAUCCCAUAUUAGAAGGAAGCAACGUAUUCCUGGGAAUAUGUCAAGAGAAUGGGAGACAUGGAUCUGGAAUCUAUUCCAGGCUUCGCUACUGACUUGCUGCAGGAUAUUAAUCAAGUUACUCGGGGCCAAGUUGUGACUUGGAAUACAAGUCCAUGUAACAGAGUAAGAGCAGCCCAGAUACUCCUGCAGGCCCAACAUCCAGGUAGCCUGCAAAAGGGUAAGUGGGAGCUGUGUGCACCUGCUUACUCCUAACUAGAGCUGGCCAACAUCCUU